AUGAGGGCAGCAGGCGCGCAACUUACCCAAUCCCGACUCGGGGAGGUAGUGACGAAAAAUAUCGCGGCGGGACUGUAAAUUGGUCACCGCGGGCGGAAUGAGCGCAAUUUAAAAGAGUGUACGAGGAGCUAUUGGAGGGCAAGCCUGGUGCCAGCAGCCGCGGUAAUUCCAGCUCCAAUAGCCUAUAUCGGAGUUGCUGCGGUUAAAAAGCUCGUAGUUGGAUCUCGGAGACGGCACGGUUGGACGCGAUACGCUGCGGGUCCGGCCGGCUUUUCUUAAUUGGCCGUCCCUAUUCCGCGUUCGGGGCGGCGGGAUACCUUGAUGUAUUCCUCGUUCUUUCGUGUCGAAAUUUCGCACGGAAACCCGGCGCAAAUUAUGUCUACCUUGAAAAAAUUAGAGUGCUAAAGGCAGGCGAAUCCCCCGAGCCUGAAUAUUUCGUGCAUGGAAUAAACGGGGAUACUCCACAGGAGGGUGGUCCGGCCGUCGGGCGACGUCGCUUUCGCUGUCGGCUUUUGCUGUGGAGUUUAGGAUUUCGAGAGGAACGGCGGGGGGCCAGCGUACCGGCCGGGGAGAGGUGAAAUUUUGUGAUCCGCUCGGGACGCCUCGAAGCGAAGGCGCUGGCCCCGGACGUCUUCCUUAAUCCAGAACGAAGGUGGGUGGAGCAAAGACGAUCAGAUACCGUCGUAGUACCGACGGUAAACUCUGCCAACCGGGCCGCGGACGAGGCUCGAGAACAGCGGUUAUGGACCCGUCCGUGGCGGCUUCGGGAAACCUGAGAGUGUACGGGUUCCGGGGGUAGUAUGGUCGCAAGGCUGAAACUUGAAGGAAUUGACGGAAGGGCACCACAAGGAGUGGAGCCUGCGGCUUAAUUUGACUCAACACGGGACAACUUACUCGGUCCGGACAUUGACAGGAUUGACAGAUGCUUGUGCAGUUCUUUCUCGAUUUGAUGGGUGGUGGUGCAUGGCCGUUCGUGGCUGGUGAAGUGAAAAGUCUGGUUUAUUCCGCUAACGGGCGAGGCCUCGCCUCUAAAUAGUCGGUUUACGGUUCUGGUUAAGUCUGCGCCUCGGCGCAGCGACAGAAAUGGUAGGUCGAGGCGGUCGUCGCUACUUCUUAGGGGGAUCCCGAGCAAGCUUAAGCUAGGUGAGAGAGAUCAAUAACAGGUCAGUGAUGCCCUUAGAUGUUCGGGGCCGCACGCGCGCUACACUGAAGGCGAGAGCGCGAAUGUUACGGCCAAAUACGGCUUGGAACCUGCCCCGAGAGGGUUUUGAUCGAACUUGUUCGAUCUUGGUGGGUUAACCGUGCUAAUCGGUUUCGUGCUGGGGAUCGGGGCUUGUAACUCAGUCCCGUUAACGAGGAAUUCCGAGUAGGCGCCAGUCAACAGCUGGCGCCGAUUAAGUCCCUGCCUUUUGUACACACCGCCCGUCGCUACCUCCGAUAGAAUGUUUAAGCUAGGUCGUUGGACUGAAUGCUCAAAGGCUCAUGCUUAUUAAAGUGUUCUGG
rnacentral:rRNA from 1 species